UUAAGCAAGAAAGGGCGCAGGGUGGAUGCCUUGGCACUGAGAGCCGAAGAAAGACGUGAUAAGCUGCGAUAAGCAGCGGUGAGGAGCAAAUAUCCGAUGACCCGCUGAUUUCUGAAUGGGGAAACCCGGCUGAGCAACCCUCAGUCACCAUAUGCUGAAUACAUAGGUAUAUGGAGGGAACCCGCUGAACUGAAACAUCUAAGUAGGCGGAGGAAGAGAAAGAAACAUCGAUUCUGUGAGUAGCGGCGAGCGAAAACGGAAGAGCCUAAACCGGAGCGCGUGCGUUCCGGGGUUCGGACUGCGACAUGUGAGCAAUAGGAUAACAGAACAGUCUGGGAAGUCAGACCAGAGAGGGUGAAAGUCCCGUAUGUGAAAUCCGAGUUGCAGCUAGCAGGAUCCAGAGUACCACGAGACACGAGAAACCUUGUGGGAAGGCAGGGAGACCACUCCCUAAGGCUAAAUACUACUCAGUGACCGAUAGCGCAUAGUACUGUGAAGGAAAGGUGAAAAGGACCCCGGGAGGGGAGUGAAAGAGAACCUGAAACCCUGUGUCUACAAGCUGUGGAAGAUCUUUAUAGGAUCAACCGCGUACUUUUUGUAGAACGGUCCGGCGAGUUGCCAUGUCUGGCAAGGUUAAGUACUUAAGGUACGGAGCCGAAGUGAAAGCAAGUGUUAACAGCACGUUGAGUCAGACCGGGCAGACCCGAAACCGGGUGAUCUACCCAUGUCCAGGUUGAAGUUGCCGUAAAAGGCAAUGGAGGACCGAACGCACAUCCGUUGAAAAGGGUGGCGAUGAGGUGUGGGUAGGGGAGAAAUUCCAAUCGAACCCGGAGAUAGCUGGUUCUCCUCGAAAUAGCUUUAGGGCUAGCCUCAUAUUAGUCUUGCGGAGGUAGAGCACUGAAUAUCCUAGGGGGCGUCAAAGCUUACCGAAGAUUAUCAAACUCCGAAUGCCGUAAAGAUGAUGUAUGGGAGUCAGACUGCACGAGAUAAGUUGGGUAGUCAAAAGGGAAAGAGCCCAGACCUACAGCUAAGGUCCCAAAGUACGUGUUAAGUGGAAAAGGAUGUGGGAUUUCGAAGACAACUAGGAUGUUGGCUCAGAAGCAGCCAUACAUUCAAAGAGUGCGUAAUAGCUCACUAGUCGAGAGGUCCUGCGCCGAAAAUGUCCGGGGCUGAAACACGACACCGAAGCUUAGGAAUCGAAAGAUUGGUAGAGGAGCAUUGAAUACGGAACGAAGCAGUACCGGAAGGAGCUGUGGACUGUAUUGAAGAGAGAAUGCCGGAAUGAGUAGCGAGAUUUAAGUGAGAAUCUUAAAGGCCGAAUAUCUAAGGUUUCCAGGGUAAAGCUGAUCUUCCCUGGGUAAGUCGGGGCCUAAGGCGAGGACGAAAGUCGUAGUCGAUGGAUAACAGGUUGAAAUUCCUGUACCGCAUAUAUUCAGAAAUGUGGGGACACAGAUGGAGAGUACAACCCGGGAAUGGAUAGACCGGGGCAAGCGAGGUAGGAGAAUGGCAGGCAAAUCCACCAUUCAAUCUGAAGACGUGACGCGUACCGAACAAGAGUAGGGAAGUGUAUGAGCCAGCUGUCGAGAAAAGCCGCUAUUGUGAUAUAUGCGCCCGUACCGUAAACCGACACAGGUGGAUGAGGAGAGAAUCCUAAGGCCGGCGGGAGAAGUGUUGUUAAGGAACUCGGCAAAAUGACCCCGUAACUUCGGGAGAAGGGGUGCCUCGGAAGAGGCCGCAGAGAAAUGGCCCAAGCAACUGUUUAGCAAAAACAUAGGUCUAUGCAAAACCGAAAGGUGAGGUAUAUGGGCUGACGCCUGCCCGGUGCUGGAAGGUUAAGAGGAGAGCUUAGCGCAAGCGAAGGUUUGAAUUUAAGCCCCAGUAAACGGCGGCCGUAACUAUAACGGUCCUAAGGUAGCGAAAUUCCUUGUCGGGUAAGUU
rnacentral:rRNA from 1 species